rnacentral:rRNA from 1 species
AACGAACGCUGGCGGCAGGCCUAACACAUGCAAGUCGAGCGCGCCCUUCGGGGUGAGCGGCGGACGGGUGCGUAACGCGUGGGAACGUGCCCUUUUCUACGGAAUAGCCUCGGGAAACUGAGAGUAAUACCGUAUACGCCCUUUGGGGGAAAGAUUUAUCGGAAAAGGAUCGGCCCGCGUUGGAUUAGGUAGUUGGUGGGGUAAUGGCCUACCCAGCCGACGAUCCAUAGCUGGUUUGAGAGGAUGAUCAGCCACACUGGGACUGAGACACGGCCCAGACUCCUACGGGAGGCAGCAGUGGGGAAUCUUAGACAAUGGGGGCAACCCUGAUCUAGCCAUGCCGCGUGAGUGAUGAAGGCCUUAGGGUUGUAAAGCUCUUUCAGCUGGGAAGAUAAUGACGGUACCAGCAGAAGAAGCCCCGGCUAACUCCGUG